GGAAGAGUGCAGGAGUGGUUGAACUGGCACGCCUGGAAAGUGUGUAUAGGUGAAAGCCUAUCAAGGGUUCGAAUCCCUUCUCUUCCGC
rnacentral:tRNA from 1 species